ACGACGAGGUCGAGACGACCGCGACAGUCGUUCGCGUCAAGGGACAAAUGCGUAGCCCGGGCGAGCGGAGGCCGAGACCCCCGCACCCGUGCCUCGCGUUCCGCAUCCGAGAGAACGGGCAACAGCUCCGCAGGCCUCGACAGCCCCGCAGGGCAUGCGAGGAACACGUCGCGUGCCUGGCGUCCACCCCACACCCACGACGGGCACCGGGCGAAAAGGGGCAACGGUAC
rnacentral:misc_RNA from 1 species